rnacentral:rRNA from 1 species
UACGGAGGGAGCUAGCGUUGUUCGGAAUUACUGGGCGUAAAGCGCGCGUAGGCGGCUUUGUAAGUUAGAGGUGAAAGCCCGGGGCUCAACCCCGGAAUUGCCUUUAAGACUGCAUCGCUUGAAUCCGGGAGAGGUGAGUGGAAUUCCGAGUGAUAGAGGUGAAAUUCGUAGAUAUUCGGAAGAACACCAGUGGCGAAAGGCGGCUCCAGCUGGACCGGUAUUGACGCUGAGGUGACGAAAGCGUGGGGGAGCAAACAGG